GCAUCUAUGGCGUAAUAGGUAGGCGCGGUAGGUUUAGAUCCUACUGGUGGAAACACCGUACCAGUUCGACUCUGGUUAGAUGCACCA
rnacentral:tRNA from 3 species